rnacentral:rRNA from 1 species
GGGAGGCAGCAGUGAGGAAUAUUGCGCAAUGGGGGAAACCCUGACGCAGCGACGCCGCGUGGGUGAAGAAGGCCUUCGGGUUGUAAAGCCCUGUCAGGUGGGAAGAAACCUUUAAAGGUGAAUAGCCUUUAAAACUGACGGUACCACCAAAGGAAGCACCGGCUAACUCCGUGCCAGCAGCCGCGGUAAGACGGAGGGUGCAAGCGUUGCUCGGAAUUACUGGGCGUAAAGCGCGUGUAGGCGGUCCGGUAAGUCGAGUGUGAAAGCCCGAGGCUCAACCUCGGAAGUGCAUUCGAAACUGUCGGACUUGAGUACGGGAGAGGGAAGUGGAAUUCCUGGUGUAGAGGUGAAAUUCGUAGAUAUCAGGAGGAACACCGGUGGCGAAGGCGGCUUCCUGGACCGAUACUGACGCUGAGACGCGAAAGCGUGGGGAGCAAACAGGAUUAGAUACCCGAGUAA